rnacentral:rRNA from 1 species
AAGUCGAGGGGCAGCAUUCACUUCGGUGAGAUGGCGACCGGCGCACGGGUGCGUAACGCGUAUGCAACCUACCUUAUACAAAGGGAUAGCCCAUGGAAACGUGGAUUAAUACCUUAUAGUACUAUAAAUCUGCAUAGAUUAUUAGUUAAACUUCGGUGGUAUAAGAUGGGCAUGCGUAAGAUUAGUUGGUUGGUGAGGUAACGGCUCACCAAGACUACGAUUCGUUUAGGGGUUCUGAGAGGAUUACUCCCCCACACUGGUACUGAGACACGGACCAGACUCC